ACUUCAGAUGGCUGAGCUGCCUGGAAGAGGUGGCGAUUGGCCAAGGUGCCUAAGAGUCUCAGACUAACUGAGCUGCCCACAAGAGACACUCUCCAACCCACUGAGCUGCCUGUGGGAUGUGAAGUGCCUGCCAGGUUUCCAGCUUUGGGGAGCUGUCAAGAUGUUGAGGUGGAUUUUGGCGACGCAGCUGGCUUUGAGUCAUUUCUGUUCCUGAUGACGUCUGCUAGCAAGUUUGUUGAUGGCUGCAGUCAAAAGAAAUACUUCUGCUGAAAUGCCUGGAUUCCGUAACCCACUGAGAGUCUCAACUUGAACUGUCAGUCCCUAGGUAAUGAGCAUGUGCCUCAUCACAAGCUUUCAGAAGCCUGAUCACUCCAGCUCCAGGACUGAGCACUUGCUUGAUUCAAGGUGGUAAACGGUGACUUCCGUCUUACCGUCUGUACCUGUGCUCUGAAGCUAACAGUGUUGAGCCGGUGUCUCCAGGUGGUAAUACCAGACACCUUUAUGAUGGUGUGCCGCUCUCUCCUGCCCCUGCUCCCAAUUCUCCGUGCAUCAGAUCCAGCCUUUUACCUGCUUUUUCCUACGUUUCCCAAGCAGACUUGAGUUCCCAGGAUGUGUGGGCACCUAUCUAGAUGCCAGAGAUUCCAACUGCUGUGAUUUAAGAUCUACAGAUUUCUUUUUCUGGUGGAUAAAACAUUCUUUUGGAAGGAACCAAGUAAUGUGAUAAUUUUCUACAGUAAUAAACAUUACAAAAACAAAAUAGAGUAAUCUGACAUUAAGGGACAUGAGAUACGUUUUAGCAGGACACUUUUUCUAAUUUUCCCCUCCCCAGGAUCUGAUAUUUCAUGUGACAAGAAAAAAAUAUAUAUCCAAGGGAAAUUCAGGAGCUAACACCUGGAGGAAGUGGGCAGUGAAAUCUUGGAGGCAAGGAGCAACUUGACGCAGGCGAGGAGCAGAAAAGAUGUAAGAUGCCUCGGUGGGAGUGGACGAUAAGCAAGACUCAAUCUUGCAGUUGAAAAGCUCAGGUGUAGGGACACCUUCAUGAACACUGCUCCUCUGUGUCCUGCCGUAGGAGUGCAGGGGCAGUCAGCCCGCUGUACCAGGAAAGACUGUACUGGCAUCUGGAACGGGCAGAUGAAAAUGGAAAAGAAGGGACAGAGUCCACACACGCGAAGGUCCAACUGGGAAAUCGCCUCCAAAUAGUUGAUGACGUUAACUGACUUCUGCCAAUUCGUAGACAAAUAGUUUCUUCCUAGCAGAAUACAUUUCACAGAGAUCUCAGUUCUCCAUUUCUCUUCCUGUUGCUGUGAUGAAAGGCCCUGUCCAAGGCAAUGUAAGGAAGAACGGGUUUAUUUCCUGGUUCUAGGCUACACUACAUCACUGCAGGGACGUCAAGGCAUCAAGAACCUGCAACAAUAGUCACGGCUCCGCACAGUCAAGAGCAGAGAACCUUAAACCAAGUGCCUAUGGCCUUCAUCUACUGCGGCUGUGUGUGCGUCUCUUGGAGGGUCUCUGUCAACCUCGGGAAAGGAACUUGCUCUGUGUCCACUUAUCCCCUUGAAGAUCGCCCUGGCAAACGAGAAACCUGCGCCUGAUUCCAAAGACGCCGCCCCAGGCAGCGGGCUGUGCUUCCCUCACAGGCAUCUACUGUUCUGUGUUCUGUUCCUGGGCCUUCCUUGGCAGCUGGGACUGGGUAUUUUGUUUUGUUUUGUUUUGUUUUUUGUUUUUCCAAAAGGAGAUGCAGAUUCUAUUUUUCUUUAUCUACCUUGAAAAUCACAUUUUGCUUCUGCAUGGGGACCGUUUGGGAUCAAGAGUCCUUUCCUAUUUCCACUGAAAAUAAAAAUACAACCCUGUUGGAAAUUGCUUUAACACCUUUUCAAUAGUCCGGACCCUCUAGGAAAGCUGUACCAGGAUUAUUUGUAUAAGUGCUCUGCACAGGUGUGUUUGUAAGGAGCCUGUGUGUUCAAUCCUGUCUUCCCUAGUCCUUCCCCGGGGCACCCUCAUCAGCACCAGGAUGACCAUGCCUGU